rnacentral:rRNA from 1 species
CCUACGGUAGGCAGCAGUGAGGAAUAUUGGUCAAUGGCCGAGAGGCUGAACCAGCCAAGUCGCGUGAGGGAAGACGGCCCUACGGGUUGUAAACCUCUUUUGUCGGGGAGCAAAGAGAGUCACGUGUGACUCAUUGAGAGUACCCGAAGCAAAAGCAUCGGCUAACUCCGUGCCAGCAGCCGCGGUAAUACGGAGGGUGCAAGCGUUGUCCGUAAUCAUUGGUCGUAAAGAGUUCGUAGGCGGCAUGUAAAGUCAGGUGUUAAAGGCGCAGGCUCAACCUGUGUAUGGCACUUGUUACUUGCAAGCUGGAAGGCGGUAGAGGUAAAGGGAAUUCCUGGUGUAGCGGUGAAAUGCUUAGAUAUCAGGAGGAACAUCGGUGGCGUAAGCGCUUUACUGGGCCGUAAUUGACGCUGAGGAACGAAAGCCAGGGUAGCAAAUGGGAUUAGAUACCCUUGUAGUC